GCCGGUCCUCGGUAGUGGCCCCCGGACAUCCCUGACGCCAUGCGUCAUGACUCCGGGUGCUUCGAUCGAAGACCGGC
rfam:Streptomyces decoyicus strain NRRL 2666 P029contig58.1, whole genome shotgun sequence.